CCUCCCACUCCUUAUGCCUGCCCACCGCCCCCUUCCACCUCUUCCCCCGCCGGCCUUUCCAAGGCAGCGGACUACGUUAUUUCCAAGGUCGAUGAUCUUAUGAACUGGGCUCGCCGCGGCUCCAUCUGGCCCAUGACUUUCGGCCUAGCUUGCUGUGCCGUUGAAAUGAUGCAUACCGGUGCUGCUCGCUACGAUCUGGACCGCUUUGGUAUCAUUUUCAGGCCCAGUCCUCGCCAAUCUGAUUGUAUGAUUGUCGCUGGUACCCUCACCAA
rnacentral:misc_RNA from 1 species